UAAAGAAAGCGUAAUAGCUCACUGGUCGAGUCGGCCUGCGCGGAAGAUGUAACGGGGCUAAACCAUGCACCGAAGCUGCGGCAGCGACGCUGAUGCGUUGUUGGGUAGGGGAGCGUUCUGUAAGCCUGUGAAGGUGUACUGUGAGGUAUGCUGGAGGUAUCAGAAGUGCGAAUGCUGACAUAAGUAACGAUAAAGCGGGUGAAAAGCCCGCUCGCCGGAAGACCAAGGGUUCCUGUCCAACGUUAAUCGGGGCAGGGUGAGUCGACCCCUAAGGCGAGGCCGAAAGGCGUAGUCGAUGGGAAACAGGUUAAUAUUCCUGUA
rnacentral:rRNA from 1 species